rnacentral:rRNA from 1 species
GAUAAACGCUGGCGGCGCACAUAAGACAUGCAAGUCGAACGAACUUAAUACCUUGCUUGCAAGGUAAGCGGUUAGUGGCGGACUGGUGAGUAACACGUAAGAAAUCUGCCUAUCAGAGGGGAAUAACAGUGAGAAAUCACUGCUAAUACCGCAUAUGCCAUAGGAAUCGCAUGAUUCUAGUGGGAAAGGAGCAAUCCGCUGAUAGAUGAGCUUGCGUCUGAUUAGCUAGUUGGUGGGGUAAAGGCCUACCAAGGCGACGAUCAGUAGCCGGACUGAGAGGUUGAACGGCCACAUUGGGACUGAGAUACGGCCCAGACUCCUACGGGAGGCAGCAGUCGGGAAUAUUGCGCAAUGGAGGAAACUCUGACGCAGUGACGCCGCGUAUAGGAAGAAGGUUUUCGGAUUGUAAACUAUUGUCCACAGGGAAGAUAAAAGACUGUACCUGUGAAGAAAGCUCCGGCUAACUACGUGCCAGCAGCCGCGGUAAUACGUAGGGAGCAAGCGUUAUCCGGAAUUAUUGGGUGUAAAGGGUGCGUAGACGGGAUAACAAGUUAGUUGUGAAACCCCCCGGCUCAACUGAGGAACUGCAACUAAAACUAUUAUUCUUGAGUGCAGGAGAGGAAAGUGGAAUUCCUAGUGUAGCGGUGAAAUGCGUAGAUAUUAGGAAGAACACCGGUGGCGAAGGCGACUUUCUGGACUGUAACUGACGUUGAGGCACGAAAGUGUGGGGGAGCAAACAGGAUUAGAUACCCUGGUAGUCCACACUGUAAACGAUGGAUACUAGGUGUAGGAGAUAUUAAAGCUUCUGUGCCGUCGCUAACGCAGUAAGUAUCCCACCUGGGGAGUACGACCGCAAGGGUUGAAACUCAAAGGAAUUGACGGGGGCCCGCACAAGCAGUGGAGUAUGUGGUUUAAUUCGAAGCAACGCGAAGAACCUUACCAGGGCUUGACAUACAAGUGAAUGUCUAAGAGAUUAGGCAGUAUUUCGGUACACUUGUACAGGUGGUGCAUGGUUGUCGUCAGCUCGUGUCGUGAGAUGUUAGGUUAAGUCCUGCAACGAGCGCAACCCCUAUACUUAGUUGCCAGCACGUAAAGGUGGGAACUCUAAGUAGACUGCCGGUGAUAAAUCGGAGGAAGGUGGGGACGACGUCAAAUCAUCAUGCCCUUUAUGUCCUGGGCUACACACGUACUACAAUGGCUAUAACAAAGAGAAGCGAGACGGAGACGUUAAGCGAAACCCAAAAAAGUAGUCUCAGUUCGGAUUGAAGGCUGAAAUUCGCCUUCAUGAAGCCGGAAUUGCUAGUAAUGGCAGGUCAGCAUACUGCCGUGAAUACGUUCCCGGGCCUUGUACACACCGCCCGUCACACCAUGAGAGUUGGGAAUACCCGAAGCCUGUGAGCUAACGUAAGAGGCAGCAGUCGAAGGUAGAAUCAAUGAUUGGGGUG